CCACCUCGUCCGGCAGAAAAUAGCCCUUUGAGAAACAUAUUGCACAUUAUUUGCUUGUUAUCUUGCCCUGUGACCUUGCAGCUGGUCUGCAAGAAAAACAGGAGUCUUGAGAUGCCUGGGGACUUGACUGAGAAUGUGGGGAGAAUAGAUAAGGUAGGUUUUAUAUUGAACACAACACAGUAAACUUUAUUAUGCAGCAAUUAUAGACUACUAUUGAUAUUAUUUAAUUUCCCUC